GGUGACUGCGUACCUUUUGUAUAAUGGGUCAGCGACUUAUAUUUUGUAGCGAGGUUAACCGAAUAGGGGAGCCGAAGGGAAACCGAGUCUUAACUGGGCGAAGAGUUGCAAGGUAUAGACCCGAAACCCGGUGAUCUAGCCAUGGGCAGGUUGAAGGUUGGGUAACACUAACUGGAGGACCGAACCGACUAAUGUUGAAAAAUUAGCGGAUGACUUGUGGCUGGGGGUGAAAGGCCAAUCAAACCGGGAGAUAGCUGGUUCUCCCCGAAAUCUAUUUAGGUAGAGCCUUGAGGUGACACCUUUGGGGGUAGAGCACUGUUUCGGCUAGGGGUCCAUCCCGGAUUACCAACCCGAUGCAAACUACGAAUACCAAAGAGUGAUACUCAGGAGACACACGGCGGGUGCUAACGUCCGUCGUGGAGAGGGAAACAACCCAGACCGCCAGCUAAGGUCCCCAAGUCUAUAUUAAGUGGGAAACGAAGUGGGAAGGCUUAGACAGCUAGGAUGUUGGCUUAGAAGCAGCCAUCAUUUAAAGAAAGCGUAAUAGCUCACUAGUCGAGUCGGCCUGCGCGGAAGAUGUAACGGGGCUGAAAUAUAGCACCGAAGCUGCGGCAUCAGGCGUAUCACUAAUACGCCUUACGAUUAACAAGCUAGAAUGGCGCGAAGCGGCAUGAAAGGUUGUUCAAGCAACCCGAACGUUGAGUCGGGGUAUUUUUGAAGUAAGGAUUAUUAGUGAUACGCCUGUUGGGUAGGGGAGCGUUGUGUAAGCGGAUGAAGGUUAAUCGAGAGGUUAGCUGGACGUAUCACAAGUGCGAAUGCUGACAUAAGUAACGAUAAAACGGGUGAAAAACCCGUUCGCCGGAAGACCAAGGGUUCCUGUCCAACGUUAAUCGGGGCAGGGUGAGUCGGCUCCUAAGGCGAGGCUGAAAAGCGUAGUCGAUGGGAAACAGGUUAAUAUUCCUGUACUUGGUAAAGCUGCGAUGUGGGGACGGAGUAGGUUAGGUUAUCGCACUGUUGGAUAUGUGCGUUUAAGUUGGUAGGUGGGAAGUUUAGGCAAAUCCGGACUUCCUUAACACAGAGAGAUGAUGACGAGGCUCUACGGAGCUGAAGUAACUGAUACCACACUUCCAGGAAAAGCCACUAAGCGAAAGGCUUUACUAAACCGUACUGAAAACCGACACAGGUGGUCAGGUAGAGAAUACUCAGGCGCUUGAGAGAACUCGGGUGAAGGAACUAGGCAAAAUAGCACCGUAACUUCGGGAGAAGGUGCGCCGGCGUAGAUUGUAGUCCCUAGCGGGCGAAGGUUGAACCGGUCGAAGAUACCAGCUGGCUGCAACUGUUUAUUAAAAACACAGCACUCUGCAAACACGAAAGUGGACGUAUAGGGUGUGAUGCCUGCCCGGUGCUGGAAGGUUAAUUGAUGGUGUAAUCGCAAGAGAAGCACCUGAUCGAAGCCCCAGUAAACGGCGGCCGUAACUAUAACGGUCCUAAGGUAGCGAAAUUCCUUGUCGGGUAAGUUCCGACCUGCACGAAUGGCAUAAUGAUGGCCAGGCUGUCUCCACCCGAGACUCAGUGAAAUUGAAAUCGCCGUGAAGAUGCGGUGUACCCGCGGCUAGACGGAAAGACCCCGUGAACCUUUACUAUAGCUUGACACUGAACAUUGAAUUUUGAUGUGUAGGAUAGGUGGGAGCCUUUGAAGCAGUGACGCCAGUCAUUGUGGAGGCGACCUUGAAAUACCACCCUUUAACGUUUGAUGUUCUAACGAAGAUGACGAAACGUGGUCUCGGACAGUGUCUGGUGGGUAGUUUGACUGGGGCGGUCUCCUCCCAAAGCGUAACGGAGGAGCACGAAGGUUUGCUAAUCACGGUCGGACAUCGUGAGGUUAGUGCAAUGGUAUAAGCAAGCUUAACUGCGAGACAGACAAGUCGGGCAGGUACGAAAGUAGGUCAUAGUGAUCCGGUGGUUCUGAAUGGAAGGGCCAUCGCUCAACGGAUAAAAGGUACUCCGGGGAUAACAGGCUGAUACCGCCCAAGAGUUCAUAUCGACGGCGGUGUUUGGCACCUCGAUGUCGGCUCAUCACAUCCUGGGGCUGAAGUAGGUCCCAAGGGUAUGGCUGUUCGCCAUUUAAAGUGGUACGCGAGCUGGGUUUAGAACGUCGUGAGACAGUUCGGUCCCUAUCUGCCGUGGGCG
rnacentral:rRNA from 1 species